GACGCUGGCGGCAUGCCUAACACAUGCAAGUCGAACGAGACCUUCGGGUCUAGUGGCGCACGGGUGCGUAACGCGUGGGAACCUGCCUUUAGGUUCGGAAUAACUCAGAGAAAUUUGAGCUAAUACCGGAUAAUGUCUUCGGACCAAAGAUUUAUCGCCUUUAGAUGGGCCCGCGUUGGAUUAGCUAGUUGGUGGGGUAAAGGCCUACCAAGGCGACGAUCCAUAGCUGGUCUGAGAGGAUGAUCAGCCACACUGGGACUGAGACACGGCCCAGACUCCUACGGGAGGCAGCAGUGGGGGAAUAUUGGACAAUGGGCGAAAGCCUGAUCCAGCAAUGCCGCGUGAGUGAUGAAGGCCUUCGGGUUGUAAAGCUCUUUUACUCGGGACGAUAAUGACGGUACCGAGAGAAUAAGCCCCGGCUAACUCCGUG
rnacentral:rRNA from 1 species